rnacentral:rRNA from 1 species
GUAGUCUCGCACAGAUGCAUAUCAAUAAGCGGAGGAAAAGAAACUAACAAGGAUUCCCUUAGUAACGGCGAGUGAAGCGGGAAGAGCUCAAAUUUGAAAUCUUCAAGGUUUUACCUUGACGAAUUGUAGUUUAAAGAAGUGUUUUCUGUUGAAGUUUUGGUAAAAGUUCUUUGGAAUAGGACAUCAUAGAGGGUGAGAAUCCCGUAUUUGACCAUUACUUUCAGCUGUGUGAUACACUUUCAAAGAGUCGGAUUGUUUGGGAAUGCAGUCCAAAAUGGGUGGUAAAUUCAUCUAAAGCUAAAUAUUGGCGAGAGACCGAUAGCGAACAAGUACCGUGAGGGAAAGAUGAAAAGAACUUUGAAAAGAGAGUUAAACAGUACGUGAAAUUGUCAAAAGGGAAGCGUUUGACACCAGUGUUGUUUUCUCGAAAAUCAAUUAAAAAGAGUUUGAUUUUGUUGUGUAUUGACCUUAACAGCUUGCAUUUCAAUUUUCUUGCUUUUUUUAAUGCACUUUUCGUUUAGCAAGUCAACAUCAGUUUCUUUUGUUGUAAAAAGGUCAUUGGAAGGUGGCUUUCUUUUCGGAGAAAGUGUUUAUAGCCUUUGACUCCUGCAAUCGGAGAGACUGAGGUCUGCAGCGUAGAUCCUUCGGGGUUAGAUACAUUUGUGCUAAGUUAUAGCUUUUUAUAGACAACUUGUUGACUAUGAUUAGUCUUGUAGCUUACUCGCUUAUGCUAUUUUACCUACGCUUAGGAUGUUGAGCGCAUGUCUCUCUC